rnacentral:rRNA from 1 species
AUACGUAGGUGGCGAGCGUUGUCCGGAAUUACUGGGUGUAAAGGGCGUGUAGGCGGGGAUGCAAGUCAGAUGUGAAAUACCGGAGCUUAACUCCGGGGCUGCAUCUGAAACUGUGUUUCUUGAGUGUCGGAGAGGAAAGUGGAAUUCCCAGUGUAGCGGUGAAAUGCGUAGAUAUUGGGAGGAACACCAGUGGCGAAGGCGACUUUCUGGACGGCAACUGACGCUGAGGCGCGAAAGCGUGGGUAGCAAACAGGAUUAGAUACCCUGGUAGUCCACGCCGUAAACGAUGGAUACUAGGUGUAGGAGGUAUCGACCCCUUCUGUGCCGGAGUUAACACAAUAAGUAUCCCACCUGGGGAGUACGGCCGCAAGGUUGAA